GCUCCGGUGUCCUAGUGGUUAGAGCGUUCGUCUCGGAUGCGGGAGGUCGUGGUUUCGAUCCCCGGUCGAGUCU